rnacentral:rRNA from 1 species
UACGUAGGGUGCAAGCGUUAUCCGGAAUUAUUGGGCGUAAGAGCUCGUAGGCGGUUUGUCGCGUCUGCUGUCGAAACUGGAGGCUCAACCUCCAGCCUGCAGUGGGUACGGGCAAGACUAGAGUGGCGGUAGGGGAGAUUGGAAUUCCUGGUGUAGCGGUGGAAUGCGCAGAUAUCAGGAGGAACACCGGUGGCGAAGGCGGGUCUCUGGGCAGUAACUGACGCUGGAGGAGCGGAAAGCGUGGGGAGCGAACAGG